rnacentral:rRNA from 1 species
UAGUUAUGUUCUUGAAACUUAAAAAAUUUGGCGGUAUUUUAGUCUAUUCAGAGGAACUUGUUCUAUAAUCGAUAAUCCACGAUGGACCUUACUUAAAUUUGUAAUCAGUUUAUAUACCGUCGUUAUUAAAAUAUUUUAUAAGAAUGUUAAUUUUUAUAAUUUUUUACAAAAAAAUAUAUCAGAUCAAGGUGUAGCUUAUAUUUAAGUAGAAAUGAGUUACAAUAAAUAUAUUUAUACGAAUAUGAAUUUGAAAAAUUUAUUGAAGGUGGAUUUGAUAGUAAAAUUAUAAAGAUUAAUAAUUUGAUUUUAGCUCUAAAAUAUGUACACAUCGCCCGUCACUCUUACUAUUAAGGUAAGAUAAGUCGUAACAUAGUAGAUGUACUGGAAAGUGUAUCUAGAAUGCAAUUUAAAGCUUAUUAAGUAAAGUAUUUCAUUUACAUUGAAAAGAUUUUUGUGCAAAUCAAUAUAAAUUGAUUAAAUUUUAUUUAUUAAUUAUUUUUUUUAUAGAAUUUAAAUUAUUAAAAAUAAUUAUAAAAUGAUUUUGUUUUAGUAUUUAAUAAAAAAAAAAUAAUUUUAAUUAUAGUGUAUUAGUAUUGUGAAAUAAAAUUGAAAUAAUU